GUAUGUGCCUGUGUGAGGACAGAGACCAGAAGAGGAUGUUGGAUCUGCUGUAACUAGAGUCACAGGAUGAAGAAGAAUUGACACCAACAUUUAGAACUCUUUGGGAAUUGGACCUGAAGCCUCAUUUGUGCAAGAAAUCUGGAGACUCAUGUGGAUAAAAGGUGCAGACAGUAUUCCCCUGCGCCAGGCAGACCUGGAGAAGCCCCAAGACUUUUAAGCCCCUUCAGUCUAGAAAGUGCACGAGAGUGGGCGGUGCCAAGGAGGAAGUAACAGGAACUUUCUUGGAGUUCUGGCUGGCUAAGAAAGAGCUCUCACCAAAAACAAAGUUA